UGUCCACGUCCUCAAUUAAAAUCAGCCAAUCAGAAGAUUUCUUUUUGACAUAUCAUCUCGGCUGUGGAUUGUUGGGCUACGAUUUUUUUUAAGACAGAAUGUUAAUGUUAUUGGCCCAGUAAGCCCAUCUUCCUUGCUUUCGCCUUCUUCUUCACGCCUUCUUCUUCACGCCUUUCGCGAUCUGAGAGCGGAGUGAUUCGACGUUUCCCUUUCUCAUUUCUCCAGACCCCGAUUUGCUAGAUCGAAUCGUGAGACCCUUUUCUCUUCCUCUCUUUGUUUCUGUUUCACGAUGAUCCUCCUCAGCACCUCAAUCGACAUGAUGACAUCAAAUCUAAUGACUUCCUCGAAAUCCCAUGACAAGGAAAAGACUGUUGCUCCUCGGAAGAAUCGGGAGGACAUAUCAGAAGCAAAAGUAUAGAGACCGUUCAAAGGAGGGAGAAUGAAACAAGGCGGAGUGAUAGAGCAGAAAUCAAACAUGUUGAGAUGGAUUCCGCCUGGAUCUCCAGGAUUAGGCGGCGUUGAGGUUAAGAACGAGAAACAUAUGCGCCAGGUGGCUCUUCAACGAGACGAGAUUGAAUAAGACGUGUUCAGCAGGAGCGGGAACAUGGCGUCUCACUGACCACGAAAGAGGACGAAAACCUUGCAGGACCAUCUGGAUGCAAGUCACCAAGUGUUCGACGAAUUGCCUCACACACAAUUUUACCAACAACUUUAUCGUCUUAGCCUCUCACCAGGAAUAUCUACGGUUCGUUCAGGUUAUUUUUCCUAAUUUGCUAAUCAGCUUUUGUUUAAAAUAUGUAUAUAAAUCUACAAAAUGAUGCUCAGGAAACAAUGUUGGAGAUUUCAGUUACAUACGGAGAUGUCCUGAAGCAAACAUGUAAAUAAAUUUAGAAUUCGUUUUAUAAGUUAGUUCAAAGCUUCUCAUAUCACUACUUCUUCUCAGCUUUUAGAAGUCAACAUUUAUUUGUUCUCGAGGUUUCCGUUUUUUUUUUUUAACUUUUGACGAAAAACUUACUUUGUAGCUCAUCUUAUAAAGCGGCAGAUGCAAAUGACUCUCUUACCAAAUUUGAAUACAUCUUCAGCUGCGGUCUCUUUGAUUGUGUGGAAGAAAGCAUUGGUUUGUUUAUGUAUAUACAAACGAGAAAUGUUUGGUGUCUCAGUUUAUGAACAUGAAGGUUGCUGGCAAGUAGAGGAUGCCAUGAGGCUUGCAAGGGGGAGGUGUCAAACUGAGGACCUCACCUAGAUGAUUAACUUAAUCUUACCGAUGCUAUGGUGGCAUACCAAACUGCCGCAAAAGCAGCGGCUCAGAUUCAGAGCGUUUCGGGAUAAUGCGAUGAAGGCGGCAUGGCACAGUCAAAGGUUAUCCAGUUUGCCAACAUCGAAGAAGAGGCUAAGAGCAUAUGAUGAAGAUCUAUAAUGCUUUCUGCAAAUAUAUGUAUAGUAAUGUCAAAGCUUCUAUCUGGAUUCACUGUCGGUUCCAGACAUGGAAAAUUCAAAGAGAGUUCUUCAAAAUGUGGGGUCAGCAAGUUAGGAUCCAAGUAUGUAGUGAUAUAAGAAGCGCUAAUGCAACCAACAAGGCAAUGAAAUCGCGGCGGUUGACGUGUGUCAAAGUGGAUUAUAGAGAGGUGGAGAUACAGAGGCAUUGAUGAUCGAUUUAUGAUGGGGUAGAGGAUUGUGUUUAAGAAGAGUAGAUCUCGCUAAAGUUGAAGCCAUUGUCGAGACUUGGAAAGGUGUAAAAAUCUUUCCCAAAAAUAUCUAUCAUCAAUUAGACCCUUCAUAUCAUAUAAUCAUGACGUUCAUUACUCUUCACGAUUACCAAUUGUAAACAUUUUUCUAUAUUUAAAAUAAUAGAUAUUGAGCAACGAAAGAUCUUCUCAAUUAGAUACACAGAAACUCUGAGUGAGCUUAGCAGUUGGUGCAUUUUCAGAUUUUUUUUGUUGAUUUUCAGAUCAAUGACAGAAAUUCAUGAUAUACUAUGUAUAAGUUGCAGUAAACAAAUUGUUUGGAUAUUAAUCCUCAAACACUAAGAUACUAGCACUACAUCGACACGAAAGGAAACUCUUAUGUUAAAGCAGCUUCGACAGCCACUUCAAAAUUAAGAAGUAAGCAUGGAUACAAGCUUUUGUGAUAUGGGAUCUUCUCCCAACAAAGAAUUUUUAAAACACUCAUUUCGUCUUCAAACUCAUACAGAAUCUAAGAUAGAGCCUCAAAUUAUUGUUUAGUAGUAAUAUUGAAUCUUAUUCCUCAUGUGAAAUGUCUCAAAUUCUUUGGUAUACGUCUUCUCUUAAACAUGCAUUCAUAAUUGGUUGAUGAAUGUUGAUAAGUAUUGUUUAAAAUGCUUGAAAUGAUAUUAUUAUUAUUAUUAUUAUUAUUAUCACUACUAAUAUUGUGGAACUAUAGAUUAUUGGGGAGAAAUGCGAGUAGAUGUUAAUUAUGUCCAAAUUAGAAAGCCUAAUAAUCCUAACCAAAUCCCGAAACAACUCAACAUGGUGGAGUGGUUUCUUUGGAUACAUAAAGCGUGAUUGGUUUUAGGCGGCAACAUACUAUAAGGAGUGAAUUAAAUGGUGGUCGUCAAACUAAGACUUCCGAGACACCCUGAGAUAUGGUGUUACCAAUUUUCAAUCUUUUAUGAAUUACACCACUUUAGAUAGUUUAGCUCUUAUAAAUUAGAAUGACUUGGUAAAAUUGUCCCGUAAAAAUGUCUCGAUAGCCUAUUUCCUGAUAUUUUUAUGUAUUGGUAACCCAUAUAACAUUCACUGAGUACUUCUAAAAAGUUGAAAAUCAAUCUAUCGCUUAAUGAUAAUAACAAUUAAUCUAUCAGCUUAAAGUUUGGUUAGGAUUAUGUAAUUUUCUAUCACGAUUGCAAAUUUAUCAACCAAAAGACAAGAACGGGACAGUGGUCAGGAAUCAGGAUAAUAAUACCACUGUAUUAUCAAAAGAUAAUAAUAAUGAUAAACCCAUUUGUCCAAAAAAAAAAUAAUGAUAAACCCAUGGUAGCACAAUAAACGUCAUGUAGCUAAUUUCUUAGAGCACAUCUUGAUAU